GUGGGGCCCACGCCGGAAGUUGUAGCGCCCGAGCCUCCGCCCCUUGCUGGCGCGUUCUUGGUGCGGUGGUCUUUGCUGCUCAGGCGCCCUCAACGUGCACCACUUCGCCCCAAGCAGCUUAGUUCCCAUCUGUUACAUGUCACGGCCAUCAGAUCACGUGACCACGCCCCGUUCACGUGCCCAUUGCACAGGUGAAGCUGCUGCGGCACAGAGAGGGUGAGUGACUUCUUCCUUGGAGGGUGCACAGCAGUAAAAGGACGGAGCUGGAAAUGGAACCUCGGCCGCGCAGAGCCUCUGUCUCCUUGACCUGUGACCUCUGGGCAACCUACGUGCUGAGGUGGCAUCCCAAGAUGAACCUUCAUUCCCAUGUCAAGCCCCUCCCACAUGUGCCUGUAAACCACUCUGGAAAUACAGCAACAGGAAAAACAAAACAAAACACAUGCACAGAUCUUGAUAAACAACAACAUUUGUUGUGUUAAGCCAAUGAGAAUUCAGGGUCUGUUGCCUCAGUACAGCAACCUGAAUAGUAUACCGUACUAUUGAUAGGACAGUGUCCUCAAUUCUACUGGAGAGUAAGUACCAUGUCUCUAAAAAAUAGUGAAGUGGAAAAUUUAAGAUAUUCAAGGACCACAAGGUGGUGCUAUUUCUACAAGAAUUCUAUGACUUUUGUUAACUGCUUUUUGAAGCAAAUUAAGAGCUAGCAAAAUGGAUUCCUUACUUAUCACAGCAUUAUAUAUGGCAUCACCCAGCUAGUCUCUUGCUUCCAGGGAAAACAACUAUAAGUACAAUAGCCUCUACACAGUUCCAGAAUGAACAUCAUGCAGUUAAGAAUAGCAUUCAUGAGCCAAAUCAAAACAGUUACUCUAAACCAAUCUAUGUGAAGCACACAAUUUCUUCAGGCAUCUCUGCAUUUUGGACUUGUCUUCCUUGUCUGCUAUUAAAGAAGAAAUUGUAACCUUUUAAAUGUUGAAACCAGAAUCCUUCCUUUGUUGAUCCUUGCUUUUAUUUUCAUUUGAUGUACAUAGGUUUAUGGUAAACCCCUGGAAAAAAGAUGAAUUCUAUAGGAGGAAGGGCUGCUUUUCUAGGAAAUCUAAUCUGCAAUAAUUAAACAAUGAGAUGGAAGUGACUAAGCCCUUCUGGCUCCGUUCUCGUUUUUCAGGAUACAGCUCUGGGAGGAUUUCCUCUGGAUCCUACUAAUCCCGGUUAAGUGCUCCUACUGGGUGCUUUAAUCACAGCACCAUACUAUAACAACCGUUUGUACAUGAUUCCACUACUGACUUUGAGAUCCUAAAUUGCAUGGACUGUAACAUGCACUAUAGCACAGUGGUUGAGGCCACAGGCUUUGAAGUCAGACAGACCUGGUACCUAGUCUGGGCUCUGCAAUUUCACAGCCUCUUACUUUGCCUUUCUAAUCCACAAUUUCUGCACCUGUGAAACAAAGGUAUCAUCUAGUUCCUGGGUUAUUAUGACAACUGAAAACGAAAAGCAUUAGCCCAGUGCCUGGCACAUAACAAAUGCCCAACAAAUAGUAACCAUUAGUGAAAUGAGUAAUCUGAAAAUCCUCAGUAUUUGCAAUAUGGAAAGUAAUGAAAACUAUUUGCUAAAUAAAUGAAAGAAUGAAGUAGAGCAACAGAAUGUUUUUUUCAUAUAUGAUUUUAUUCAACUAUCAGAUACUUAGGGUCUAAACUGGCAACAUAUUUUUCUUUUAAGUACUUUAUUAAGAAAUGAUAAUCCAACUAGAGAAUACGAAUAAAAGUUAGAACUGCAAUCAAUCUUUUAAAAAAUGUUACUUCUCCUAUGACAUGGUAAAUUCUCAAACAGAACUGUUCUAUGGAGACCUUGUUACUUGAAGAUUGUUAGGGCAGCUGGGAGUGAAGUGAAUGGGAAGGGAAAUGGAAUUGUAACUGUUCUUUUGAGUGUGAACUUAUAAAUUAAAGUCAGCUGAAGUUCUCUAAAGCAUUUAAUUCUGGAUAUAGUAAAUCCAUAUAAAAACAGAAGUCCACCUACAGACAGUCUGUACAAAGCACUGAAGUCAGUUAGG